rnacentral:snRNA from 1 species
AUCGCUUCUUGGCCUUUUGGCUAAGAUCAAGUGUAGUAUUUUUUCUUUUCCCUUAUUUCCUUUCCUCUACUCUUC